rnacentral:rRNA from 1 species
GCCAGACUCCUACGGGAGGCAGCAGUGGGAAUAUUGCACAAUGGGGGAAACCCUGAUGCAGCGACGCCGCGUGAAGGAUGAAGUAUUUCGGUAUGUAAACUUCUAUCAGCAGGGAAGAAAAUGACGGUACCUGACUAAGAAGCCCCGGCUAACUACGUGCCAGCAGCCGCGGUAAUACGUAGGGGGCAAGCGUUAUCCGGAUUUACUGGGUGUAAAGGGAGCGUAGACGGCAUGGCAAGUCUGAUGUGAAAACCCGGGGCUCAACCCCGGGACUGCAUUGGAAACUGUCAGGCUAGAGUGUCGGAGAGGCAAGUGGAAUUCCUAGUGUAGCGGUGAAAUGCGUAGAUAUUAGGAGGAACACCAGUGGCGAAGGCGGCUUGCUGGACGAUGACUGACGUUGAGGCUCGAAAGCGUGGGGAGCAAACAGGAUUAGAUACCCGUGUAGA